UCAGCAAAAAAUCAUGAGAACAACAUCCAAAAAUAGGGGUCCACCCUUUUCUUUAAAUUUUCUCCGAUCAUUGGCCGAUCAUCAACGGCAAUGACCUUUGAAGAAGAUAAAUAGGAAGGUGGGGGUCACGACCCAGGGGUGCAGCACCAUGAGCGGUGGCGCUGGUGGCCGAAAAAGGAAGGGAGAAGGCUCGUUCAAAAUAGAAAAAAAUUGGGAUUCUUCUUUUUGUGGAUUUUUUGAUAAAUCCGAUGGCCGGUGGGGGUGUAUGAUGCCAUGAAAAAGAGAAAAAGA
rnacentral:lncRNA from 1 species